rnacentral:rRNA from 1 species
CAACCUGCCCACCACUUGGGGAUAACCUUGCGAAAGUAAGACUAAUACCCAAUGAUAUCUCUAGAAGACAUCUGAAAGAGAUUAAAGAUUUAUCGGUGAUGGAUGGGGAUGCGUCUGAUUAGCUUGUUGGCGGGGUAACGGCCCACCAAGGCAACGAUCAGUAGGGGUUCUGAGAGGAAGGUCCCCCACAUUGGAACUGAGACACGGUCCAAACUCCUACGGGAGGCAGCAGUGAGGAAUAUUGGUCAAUGGACGAGAGUCUGAACCAGCCAAGUAGCGUGCAGGAAGACGGCCCUAUGGGUUGUAAACUGCUUUUAUAAGGGAAUAAAGUGAGUCUCGUGAGACUUUUUGCAUGUACCUUAUGAAUAAGGACCGGCUAAUUCCGUGCCAGCAGCCGCGGUAAUACGGAAGGUCCGGGCGUUAUCCGGAUUUAUUGGGUUUAAAGGGAGCGUAGGCCGGAGAUUAAGCGCGUUGUGAAAUGUAGACGCUCAACGUCUGCACUGCAGCGCGAACUGGUU